AUCACUUCUCGGCCUUUUGGCUAAGAUCAAGUGUAGAAUUUUUUGCAUUAACACUAUGGGCAGUUGAUUUGCAAGUAUUAAAAUUGCAAUACUAUAGUAAUGAAUAACAGAAGUUCAAACUUCAGUUUCUUUAGUUUGGAUUUUCCCUGUUGCGUUUUAACAGCACAAGGAGUAGGUUUA
ensembl:snRNA U2 U2 spliceosomal RNA